CAAUUGAUGGUUCAGUUUUAUCUUUACAAAUUGACUUAUAUAAUAUAUUUGUUGAAAAAUUUGAAGCCUCAAUGUAAUUACCUUUCCAGAUUAGUUUCUGUCUAGGAAUAUUUACAAUACUUUUAAUAGAACUUUCAGACUGUAACAUCUGAAGCCAGUCUUUUGGAAUGGCUUUUUUCUUAAAUAUUUAUUUCUGCAAUCCAAUUAAUCUUG
rnacentral:lncRNA from 1 species